UAUGAAAUGAAAUAUAAGUCGCUCUGGAUAAGAGCGUCUGCUAAAUGACAAAAA
rfam:Salmo salar isolate Sally breed double haploid chromosome ssa22, whole genome shotgun sequence.